rnacentral:rRNA from 1 species
UACGAAGGGGGCUAGCGUUGUUCGGAAUUACUGGGCGUAAAGCGCACGUAGGCGGACUACUAAGUCAGGGGUGAAAUCCUGGAGCUCAACUCCAGAACUGCCUUUGAUACUGAAGAUCUUGAGUUCGGGAGAGGUGAGUGGAACUGCGAGUGUAGAGGUGAAAUUCGUAGAUAUUCGCAAGAACACCAGUGGCGAAGGCGGCUCACUGGCCCGAUACUGACGCUGAGGCACGAAAGCGUGGGGAGCAAACAGG